UGUAUCUUUUUUUCAUCUUUCAUCUUUUACUUGUUUCAAUCAUUAGACUGUGGCCAUGCUGGGGCACCACCUUGAAGAAUUGUUAGUUGAAUGACUUGACCCCAGUACUUACAGGGAUGUAAACACACCAA